rnacentral:rRNA from 1 species
CCCCACUGCUAUCGGGAUAGGACUAAGACAUGCUAGUCGAGUGACUCAGGCAAAACGAGUCACGGCACACAGCUCAGUAACACGUGGCUAAUCUGCCCUUGGGACAAGAACAACCCCGGGAAACUGGGGCUAACUCUUGAUAGGCGAAGAACACUGGAAUGUGUCUUCACCCAAAAAACUUCACGUUAUCCUCGUGAAGUCGCCCAAGGAUGAGGCCGCGACCGAUCAGGUUGUUGGCGAGGUAAUGGCUCACCAAGCCUUUUACCGGUGCGGGCCGUGGGAGCGGGAGCCCGGAGAUGGGUACUGAGACAAGGACCCAGGCCCUACGGGGCGCAGCAGUCGCGAAAACUUUGCAAUAAGCGAAAGCUUGACAGGGCUAUCCCGAGUGCCAUCCGCUGAGGAAGGCUUUUACCCAGUCUAGAACGCUGGGGGAAUAAGGAGAGGGCAAGUCUGGUGUCAGCCGCCGCGGUAAUACCAGCUCUCCGAGUGGUGUGGAUGUUUAUUGGGCCUAAAGCAUCCGUAGCUGGCUAAGUUAGUCCCUUGUUAAAUCCACUGAAUUAAUCGUUGGAUUGCGGGGGAUACUGCUUGGCUAGGGGACGAGAGAGGCAGACGGUAUUUUCGGGGUAGGGGUGAAAUCCUAUAAUCCCGGGAAGACCACCAGUGGCGAAGGCUGUCUGCUAGAACGCGCCCGACGGUGAGGGAUGAAAGCUGGGGGGGCGAACCGGAUUAGAUACCCGGGUAGUCCCAGCUGUAAACGAUGCAGGCUAGGUGUUUGGACGGCCACGUGCCGUUCUAGUGCCGCAGGGAAGCUGUUAAGCCUGCCGCCUGGGGAGUACGAUCGCAAGAUUGAAACUUAA